rnacentral:lncRNA from 1 species
GCGCUGGAGCCCCAGACCAAGGAGGGAAACCAAGGACCAGAGCCAAGGAAGGAUUCCCCUAAUGUGCCUUAAUUCCACAGCUACCACCUGCACACUUACACUCACACACUGUUCGACACACAGCCACACUCACACACACAUCCACCCACGUCCACCCACAGUCACACGAUGUAUCACAUUCACACGUAUACACCCACACACACAAUCAUAACAUUUACACACAGUCACACAGUUAACUCCUAUACACACAUAUACACCCACACAAUCACACAACUCACUCAUAUUCAACAAAGUCACACAACUCACUCACAUUGACACACAUACACACCAACCCCACACACAAUUCACAUACAUACACACACAUAUACACCCACAUACACAACCACACCAUUCACUGACAUUAAUACAAAGUCAUCACACAGUUCACUCCCACACACACACAUACACCUCACACACACAGGCACACAAUUCACACCAACAAAAUCACACAGUUCACUCAUUCACACACAUACACCCACAUACACAAAUUCACACUGCUCAGUCACAUUUACACACCAUUCAAAUUCACACACAUAUACACCUACAUACACACAGUUCACUCACAUCACACACAUAUACACCCACAUACACACAGUUCACUCACAUCACACACAUAUACACCCACACAUAAACACAGUCACACAAUUCACUCACGUUCACACACACAGUUCACUGACAUUCGCACACAUACACACACACCACACACAGGCAAUUCAGUCACAUGGCCGAAAGCCAGUCCUUACCUUCCUAUAGUUCCUUUCCCAGUGUCACCUCAGCCUUUGGCCCUCAGCGUCCCCUUCCCAUGCCUGGACUGCGGAAGAGCCCUGAACACACCCCAUCUUCAUGCCUCCAGCGCUAGCCCGAGCCCUUCCCUCUGCCAAGAGCACUAAGUGCAACUCAAGAUCACUUCUAGGGACCCUUCCCUGCCCCUGCUGCCAGGUGACCUGAGGAUCCUGCUGGUCCCGCUUGACAAUGAUGCACAGCAUGGUUAGUUCAGCUGAGGUCGCUCUCCCAGACUUACUGCCACCUA